CAGCAGUGAAGAUAGAGCCUCAGAACCUGAAGUCUUCGACUCUUCUGAAGAAGAAGAAUACUUGACAACAACAAGGAUCCAUUUGGACAUGGUGAAACCGUACUUGUGUCCCAGCUCAUGAGCGACGGUGAAGGCCAGAGGGAGGCCGGUGUCCUCGCUGAUGCUGCAGCUGCGAUGCGACUGACACAUCCCCGCCACAUGGGACAGGCCCAGCGUCUCACAGGGCAUGUUGAUGGACGCACAGAUGUCCUUCCUGUGAAGAACGGAGUGUGUCAGAUGUCAUUUUAUUUAAAAAGGCAAAAUGAGGGACGAUGCAUUGGAAAUCUAAAUUAUACAAUGAUGGAAAACAGAUACUGAUUUGGGAGGUGAUAAACGACUGGAGAGUGUUGGUGGGAAACAAAAGACAAACAUCUGCUGCAGACUGUUUAUUACUGUUAUUAUCUAAUCAAUGUUACAAUUAUAUUAAUUAUAGCUGUAAACAAGCCAUCUUUUGGGUGAUAAAAAUGUAAUAAAAUCUUGUUAAAUAAUAAAUAAAA